UACAGAGGGUGCAAGCGUUAAUCGGAAUUACUGGGCGUAAAGCGUGCGUAGACGGUUACAUAAGUCGGGUGUGAAAGCCCCGGGCUCAACCUGGGAAUUGCAUUCGAGACUGCGUAGCUAGGGUGCGGAAGAGGGAAGCGGAAUUUCCGGUGUAGCGGUGAAAUGCGUAGAUAUCGGGAGGAACACCAGUGGCGAAGGUGGUUGCCUGGAGCUUUGCUGACGCUGAUGCGCGAAAGCGUGGGGAGCAAACCGG
rnacentral:rRNA from 1 species